CGCAGCCACGGGAAUACGAAGGGUGCAAGCGUUAAUCGGAAUUACUGGGCGUAAAGCGUGCGUAGGCGGUGAGUUAAGUCUGCUGUGAAAUCCCCGGGCUCAACCUGGGAAUGGCAGUGGAUACUGGCUCGCUAGAGUGUGUCAGAGGAUGGUGGAAUUCCCGGUGUAGCGGUGAAAUGCGUAGAGAUCGGGAGGAACAUCAGUGGCGAAGGCGGCCAUCUGGGACAACACUGACGCUGAGGCACGAAAGCGUGGGGAGCAAACAGGAUUAGAUACCCCCGUAGUCCCUGUCUCUUAUACA
rnacentral:rRNA from 1 species